rnacentral:rRNA from 1 species
GACGAACCGUGCGAACGUUAUUCGGAAUCACUGGGCUUAAAGCGCGUGUAGGCGGGCGGGAACGUCGGAAGCUGAAAUCCCCCGGCUCAACCGGGGAACGGGCGCCGAAACGACCCGCCUGGAGGGACGUAGGGGGACCUGGAACUUCCGGUGGAGCGGUGAAAUGCGUUGAGAUCGGAAGGAACGCCCGUGGCGAAAGCGAGGUCCUGGACGUCUUCUGACGCUGAGACGCGAAAGCUAGGGUAGCGAACGGG